rnacentral:rRNA from 1 species
GAUGAACGCUGGCGGCGUGCCUAAUACAUGCAAGUCGAGCGGAGCGGGGACGGGUGAGUAACACGUGGGUAACCUCCUAUAAGACUGGGAUAACUUCGUGAACCCGGGGCUAAUCCGGAUACUUAUCGAUGGAUCCGCGCUGCAUUAGCUAGUUGGUAAGGUACCGGCUUACCAAGUCAACGAUGCAUCGCCUAGCUGAGAGGGGGAUCGGCCACACUGGAACUGAGACACGGUCCAGACUCCGACGGGAGGCAGCAGUAGGGAAUGUUCCACAAGGGGCGAAAGCCUGACGGAGAAACGCCGCGUGAGGUAUGAAGGGCUUCGGAUAGUAAAGGUCUGUUAUUAGGGAAGCGGUACUUAAUCAGAAAGCCACGGCUAACUCCGUGCCAGCAGCCGCGGUAAUUC